rnacentral:rRNA from 1 species
UUGAACGCUGGCGGCAGGCCUAACACAUGCAAGUCGAGCGGCAGCGGGAGGUAAGCUUGCUUCCUCGCCGGCGUAGCGGCGGACGGGUGAGUAAUGUCUGGGAAACUGCCCGAUGGAGGGGGAUAACUACUGGAAACGGUAGCUAAUACCGCAUAACGUCUACGGACCAAAGUGGGGGACCUUCGGGCCUCACACCAUCGGAUGUGCCCAGAUGGGAUUAGCUGGUAGGUGGGGUAAUGGCUCACCUAGGCGACGAUCCCUAGCUGGUCUGAGAGGAUGACCAGCCACACUGGAACUGAGACACGGUCCAGACUCCUACGGGAGGCAGCAGUGGGGAAUAUUGCACAAUGGGCGCAAGCCUGAUGCAGCCAUGCCGCGUGUGUGAAGAAGGCCUUCGGGUUGUAAAGCACUUUCAGCGAGGAGGAAGGCGUUGUAGUUAAUAGCUGCAGCGAUUGACGUUACUCGCAGAAGAAGCACCGGCUAACUCCGUGCCAGCAGCCGCGGUAAUACGGAGGGUGCAAGCGUUAAUCGGAAUUACUGGGCGUAAAGCGCACGCAGGCGGUCUGUUAAGUCAGAUGUGAAAUCCCCGGGCUUAACCUGGGAACUGCAUUUGAAACUGGCAGGCUAGAGUCUCGUAGAGGGGGGUAGAAUUCCAGGUGUAGCGGUGAAAUGCGUAGAGAUCUGGAGGAAUACCCGGUGGCGAAGGCGGCCCCCUGGACGAAGACUGACGCUCAGGU